rnacentral:misc_RNA from 1 species
AAGUCGUAACAAGGUUUCCGUAGGUGAACCUGCGGAAGGAUCAUUAAAGGUUUUCGUCGGCCCUCUGUAAAGAGGAGUUCGACGGCCAAGAUCAACCACUGUGCGCAUAUAUUGAAAUCAUUAUUGCUUUUGGUAGGUUCCCUUCAAAUUUUUUUUUGGAGGAGCGCCUGCCAAGAGUAUUUUUCAAAAAUCAGCCUUAUUUUUUGACUGAACUUUUUUUUAAAUAAAAUUUAAUACAACUUUCAACAACGGAUCUCUUGGCUCUC